UACGUAGGGCGCAAGCGUUAUCCGGAAUUAUUGGGCGUAAAGAGCUCGUAGGCGGUUUGUCGCGUCUGCCGUGAAAGUCCGGGGCUCAACUCCGGAUCUGCGGUGGGUACGGGCAGACUAGAGUGAUGUAGGGGAGACUGGAACUCCUGGUGUAGCGGUGAAAUGCGCAGAUAUCAGGAGGAACACCGAUGGCGAAGGCAGGUCUCUGGGCAUUAACUGACGCUGAGGAGCGAAAGCAUGGGGAGCGAACAGG
rnacentral:rRNA from 1 species